CGGAAAUAGCUCAAUGGUAGAGCGCCACCUUGCCAAGGUGGAUGUUGCGGGUCCGAUUCCCGUUUUCCG
rnacentral:tRNA from 1 species